UUCCAGACUCCUACGGGAGGCAGCAGUGGGGAAUAUUGCACAAUGGGGGAAACCCUGAUGCAGCGACGCCGCGUGAGUGAAGAAGUAUUUCGGUAUGUAAAGCUCUAUCAGCAGGGAAGAUAAUGACGGUACCUGACUAAGAAGCCCCGGCUAACUACGUGCCAGCAGCCGCGGUAAUACGUAGGGGGCAAGCGUUAUCCGGAUUUACUGGGUGUAAAGGGUGCGUAGGUGGCAUGGCAAGUCAGAAGUGAAAGCCCGGGGCUCAACCCCGCGGACUGCUUUUGAAACUGUCAGGCUGGAGUACAGGAGAGGUAAGCGGAAUUCCUAGUGUAGCGGUGAAAUGCGUAGAUAUUAGGAGGAACACCAGUGGCGAAGGCGGCUUACUGGACUGUAACUGACACUGAGGCACGAAAGCGUGGGGAGCAAACAGGAUUAGAUACCCUCGUAA
rnacentral:rRNA from 1 species